GUUCCCUUCCCUUUAUGGCUUUUAUCUCUCUGGCUAAUAGGGGAUGAUGCUUAAAGGAGGUAAUUCUUGAGCAAUAAAUCCAGACUGCAAAUAAAACAAGGGAAGAGGGAGGAAAAUCACAAUGUAAGAAGUUUCCUUUGUUUACUACGCUUAAUUGGGAUUCCACACAUGAAUGAAGAAGAGAAGACGGUCUCUCCCAGGGUGACUGGGAAAGGGAAAAAAAGUGAUGAAGGAACAGUCUGUGCCUCAGGAGCAUAUUAUUUCAAGAAGCACAAAUGAAGAGAAAGUCCAAACCCUCUGGGACAGAUGGACUAAAUAUUUUGGUAUUGGAACCACAUGGGGAAAGGCAGCAGUUGGGAAACAGAAACAGAGGCCUGAUAAGGGAACCUGGAAACAGCAUCAAUCUUCUCAGAAGUUUCCAAGGACUCCAGAUAUGCAGGGAACUGGACACCAAGCUCACGUGAGGAAGGAAUCAAAGUGAAUGAAACAUUGAUCUUGAAGUUAGUAAAAUGCAGGCUGAAACCACAGGUAUCUGAAAUGCAGUGGAAAAAAACAAUGAGAAUGUGAGGGCCCUAGGUAACAUGAAGCGAUUGGUCUCGCUGUUGGGCAUAAUGAACUCCUACCUGCACUCAGUGCCACAUGAUGCAGAGUUUAUGGUGCCUCUGAGACUGUUCGUAAAGAGAGGCGUUGUGUGGGACUGAUAACAGCUCUGCUCAAGGACAGCAAUGAUGUCUGCCACAUCCUUGGAGUUGGGAAUUACCUGGCCUCGUUACCUCCUCCCCACUCCUCCCCACCCCAGGAAUCUGGAUGCUCAAGGCUUGACUAUUUCCUCCAUUCUCCCCUCACUCAAGCCCCGUGUUCAGAAGCAAUCAGAUAAACUCAUUCAUUCUGAAAAGUUUAAUGUGUGACUCUUCCAAGGACAGUUUGUUUUAACAGAAAAUCAAGUUUCAGAACAAAUGUCCAACAGGUCCCAAAUUUAACUCACUAUACUCAAGAGUGUGAAAAUCAAAAAAGUAAAUUUUUGUUUCCCAUGAAAGAUCUAAUCUUAACUCUCUGGCCUUCCCACACUGGGUGCUAUGAAGAAAAACUCCUAAAAUUGCUAUUUAAAGCCAUCUCAGUCUUUUCUAUCUUAAGAUAGUCUUAAUUGGAGCAAUCAUCUAAUCACUUACAAUUUACCUCUUUUAGUUUUCUGUUGUUGCAAAAAAAAAACAAAAACAAAAACAAAAAAGCACACAUACUUAGUGGCUUGAAACAACAUGAAUUUAUUAUCUUAUCCUUCUAUAGUUCAGAAGUCCAAAAUGGGUCUCUUUAGGCUAAAAUCAGAUGUCAGCAGGGCUAUGUCUCUUUCUGGAGGCUCUAGGGGAUAAUCCAUUUCUGUGCACUGUCCAGAUUCCAGAGGCCCCUCAUAUUCCUUGGUUUAUGGUCCUUUCCUGCAUCUUCAAAACCAGCAACAGUGUGUAGAGUUCUCACAUCUCUCCUCUCUGAACGGACUCUUCCACAUUUAAGGACUCUUGUGAUUAUACUGAGUCUACCCGGACAAUCCAGGUUAGUCUCCUUAUUUUAAAGUCAGCUGAUUAGCAAUCUUAA
rnacentral:lncRNA from 1 species